rnacentral:rRNA from 1 species
GUGAACGCUGGCGGUAGGCCUAACACAUGCCAGUCGAACGGCAGCACAGUAAGAGCUUGCUCUUACGGGUGGCGAGUGGCGGACGGGUGAGGAAUACAUCGGAAUCUACUUUUUCGUGGGGGAUAACGUAGGGAAACUUACGCUAAUACCGCAUACGACCUACGGGUGAAAGCAGGGGAUCUUCGGACCUUGCGCGAUUGAAUGAGCCGAUGUCGGAUUAGCUAGUUGGCGGGGUAAAGGCCCACCAAGGCGACGAUCCGUAGCUGGUCUGAGAGGAUGAUCAGCCACACUGGAACUGAGACACGGUCCAGACUCCUACGGGAGGCAGCAGUGGGGAAUAUUGGACAAUGGGCGCAAGCCUGAUCCAGCCAUACCGCGUGGGUGAAGAAGGCCUUCGGGUUGUAAAGCCCUUUUGUUGGGAAAGAAAAGUAGCAGGUUAAUACCCCGCUGUUCUGACGGUACCCAAAGAAUAAGCACCGGCUAACUUCGUG